CCGGCGAAUCAGUACGACCAGCUCCCGCUGAACUCCCCCAGGACCGGAAGGUAGCAAGGGCAGGCGGUAGAGCGGUGCGAUACUGGUUCGCUUUUUU
rnacentral:SRP_RNA from 2 species